ACUAAUACUAUACAAUAUUUCUUACCAAGUCAGAUCAUCUUCGAUAAGAAGAAUCACUGUCAACUAUUCCAGCUUGCACCAAUCUCAUCAACUUUUCUGAACACUCCUCGACCACUGGAUCCUCAACUCUGUCUCCUCGCCUAGCAUUAGCCUUACUCACAAUCUCAAUCAAUCAUCUCAUCUUUAAGCCUUUCUGAAAUGGUUAGAAAGGAAUAGCAAGGGUGAGCAACAAUGCUCAGCAAGUAAUAAUAAACAAUGAUAGUUCUGAAAUGAUAUAAUAGAAGUUCACGAGUUCAAGAUAUAAGAGGAUUCAACCUGAGUUCAUGAGUUGAUGGUAUUGUAUAGAAUGAUUCACAAUACCUUGCAGCAUUUAAACUGAGAAAUUCAAUCUUUCCAAAGAAUUAUUGAAUUGGACUAUCACAUUUUAAUUAAAACCAAGGUUAGGCAGCUGAUCAGUUCCGCACUAACCCCGAGCAGGCCCCGCCAUGCUCUAUUACUGGAUCCAAGGCACUCAUUGGCCUAACAUGACCACGAAUCUGGUCCACAGGUUUAUAUAAAAACAAUAAUCCAAUUCUCUAAUUCAAUUCAAGAAGCCAAUGUAAAUCAACAGAACAGCAUCAUAAAUAUCAUCAACAACAGAAUUAUUCCAAAUCAAACUUUGAUAAUAAUCUAUUCAUAAAUCAUGAUCCAUCAUUUCAUAAAUCACAGUUCAGGAAAUCCUUAACUAUUCAGUAUCCUCCAUUAUCGGCUAAGCAACUGAAUUUAGCCUGCUAAACCAGCAUGACAAUGGCGGGUUGAAUAAUCAAGAAGAUCCCAAUUCAUUCUAAGUUCUAACUAUCACUGAGCAACACAUGCUUCAAUGACAAUCUGAACUUUGAAUUACUUUGUAAAGCUGACAUUCUUUAGAAACUUGAAGAUUAGAAAGAAUGGGUCAGAAUACUCGCACUUUCGAACAUUGAAAAGAAAGGUAUGAAUACUUGAAACAUAUACCAAAGGAAUGGAUCAGAAUAUUUGCAAUAUAUCCAAGAGAAAGGUUUAGGAUACUUGCAACACAUAUAAAAAGAAUGGAUCAGAAUAUGCAAUAUAUCCAAAAGCAGGGUGCAGGAUACUUGCCUUAAAUCUGACUCCAGUCUCACAUCUCUAUCUCAUCUUUCCACUUUCACAAUCUAUGCAUCUCGUAAUCUCUAGACCAUCUCUAGCUAUACUCUAUUCGCCACAUCGCUUCGCUUACUCGAUUCAUCCCUUAUUCGCUUUGCAAUACCAUUCCGACUUUCUGACGUCUUCGAGCGUACACGUCUCGUCCAAAUCCUUUACGAGAAUAA
rnacentral:lncRNA from 1 species